AAACUUGGUGCCUGGGCUCAUAUAUUUAUGCAAUAGGGAAAUCACAUGGUUGCUUAUAUUUCCUGUUUUCUGUGAUGAGACUGUUGAUGUGAAGAUAUAUCAAUUCAAGCACACAUAGCUUUAACCUUCAUAAUUUCUUCACCAGUUAUAACAGUUUUCAUUUUUGAGAUACCACAUGUCUUUUAAACAACAUAACUUCCUUUUACCCAAUUAUUGGUUUACACAACUAAUUUUUGCAUUUGCUUCUAUUACUAAACUUAAAUUUCACACUCAGCCUUGUGUUAACUACCUUGAGGUAUUAUGGUUUAUUUCUCGCAUUAGGUAUUCUUCUGAGUACUGGAAUAAGGUCACUUUUUCAUUAGGAACUUCCUAAGAGGCUUCUUCUUACAUACAAACCUGAAGAAUCGGAGGACAUUCCUGAGCCUGCUUCUGUUGAAGAGGAAAAUGCACCAGUUGAAGAGCCUGUUCUGGUACCACCUGUUACUGAAGUUGUUUCACCUCCCAAGACCGAGGUGGCCGAUACUGGUGACUUACUGGGCUUAAAUGAUCCAAAUCCUGCUGUAUCAGCUAUGGAGGAAAGCAAUGCUCUUGCCUUGGCUAUUGUUCCAACAUAUGGGGCUUCCACAACUGGUAACACUGCAUUUCAAGAUAAGGGGUUUGAUCCUACAUGAUGGGAACUCGCCCUUGUUACCGCACCGAGCAACACGACUUCAUCUGCGUCUGUCGGUCAAUUGGUUUGUUUCUUUAACCAUCGUAUCAUUUUUUCUGAUGUAUUUAUGUUUCCAUUGCAUGUU